rnacentral:rRNA from 1 species
GACGAACCGUGCGAACGUUAUUCGGAUUUAUUGGGCUUAAAGAGUGCGUAGGUGGCAGUGUAAGUCGGGGGUGAAAUACUAUCGGCUCAACCGAGGAACUGCGCUUGAAACUACCAGACUCGAGGGAGAUAGAGGAAAGCGGAACUGAUGGUGGAGCGGUGAAAUGCGUUGAUAUCAUCAGGAACACCGGUGGCGAAGGCGGCUUUCUGGGUCUUACCUGACGCUGAGGAACGAAAGCUAGGGGAGCGAACGGG